rnacentral:rRNA from 2 species
CUUGGUGACAAUAGCGUUUUGGACCCACCUGACUCCAUGCCGAACUCAGUAGUGAAACGAAACAGCGCCGAUGAUAGUGUAGCAUUUGCUAUGU